rnacentral:rRNA from 1 species
GACGAACGCUGGCGGCGUGCCUAAUACAUGCAAGUAGAACGCUGAAGGAGGAGCUUGCUUCUCUGGAUGAGUUGCGAACGGGUGAGAAACGCGUAGGUAACCUGCCUUGUAGCGGGGGAUAACUAUUGGAAACGAUAGCUAAUACCGCAUAAGAGUAGAUGUUUCAUGACAUUUUCUUAAAAGUUGCAAUUGCAUCACUUCCAUAUGGACCUGCGUUUUAUUAGCUUGUUGGUGUGGUAACGGCUCACCAAGGCGACGAUACAUAGCCGAACUGAGAGGGUGAACGGCCAAAAUGGGAAUGAGAAAAGGGAAAGAAGACUGAGGGAGGGAGCAGGAGGGAAAGUUCGGCAAAGGAGGGAAGACUGAACGAGAAAAGACGAGUGAGUGAAGAAGGUUUUAGGAUCGUAAAGCUCUGUUGUAAGAGAAGAAAGAGUGUGAGAGUGGAAAGUUCACACUGUGACGGUAUCUUACAAGAAAGAGACGGCUAACUACGUG